UUUUUCAAAAAAGAGAGAAAACAUUUUCAGAGUUUAAGCGCUGCAUCCAGUUUGAAACAACCCCCUAAACGCGUCCUUUAUGCUUUAGAUAGAGCUUCCAAAACAGCCCUUGUUUUGGGGUCACGUCUUUUCAACGAAACCGAAAGGAUUAAGCCGAGUGAUUUAUUGCAAAAGUUUUCCUCGACUUGAUCGGACAGGAGUUUGGUGAAACCCUAAGCCCAUCGCCAACCAUCCAUGACGGGGAAGGAAAUAGGAGCUUUGGUGAUGUUGGAAACAACGGCGCACCACGCUGGACCGCUCACGGCGACAGCAUUAACCUCUGCACUGUAGGAAGAGCAAAAAUACCGAAGAAGAGGAAGAAGGGAAGGGGAAAAAAAGCAGGUUCGGUUACAAUGAGUUCUGCCGAAUCCUAGUUCCCGACAGAGAUGGGUUUGCUCGUCUGAGGAUCCCGCAGAAGAUCAUGAUAAAUGGUAAGCGCAGUGGUGCGCAUUUACGCAGCGGUGUCUGACCGGAUCUUUGCUCCGUAAUGUCCUGUUGGUUCUCGUUUUGGCCAACUGUUGUGGUAAACGUAGAUGUAACUAUAAAGAAAUACUGGACUCCUACAAAGAGGUCAUCUUCGUCGAGCUGCAAAAUCUGAAUUUGACUGGAUCAGCCACUACAUUCAAAGGGAGAGACUCUUGUCCCUCAGGAAAAGAAGGUCGCAUCUUGGUGUCCAUCUAUGGUAUGACGAAGCAGAUAUUGUGCCAGAGGGGUGGCAAGCAGCUUGACCUGGAAAGGCCAGUUGAGAGCAUGGAGCAGCUUAUCAUUCAAAACUGCAAUACUAAUUACAUGGCAAAGAAAACCUCAUGUUCAGCUGUCAGAAAAAUACAAGGCAAAAAGAGGAAGAGAUUGAGGUUUAUCAGACUUAUAAAGAUGCUGAUCACUUGUUGGGAGAAACUUCAGAGUGCCCAUGUUCUCUCUAAUUAGGAUAAACGGUGCUGCCCUUUCAUGAAGAUACCAGUUAACUUGCAAGAAUGUUCACUGCACCGCUACAAAACCCGAUAACCUAUUUUUUUUAUGCACAGCUCUUUUUCUAAUGCAAUACCAUGAAUGUUUACUCUUGCUGUUAAGUUCUCAGUGUUUUGUGUAUUAAAUCUUCUUGACUUGUGUGUGCAGCCCUGCUCCUCAUUAUGUUAGAGUUUCAUCAUAACCACAGAUAAGCUAAAAAUAUCCAAAGUGCAUUCAAAUACUUUAAGAACAAGCACAUUGCCAAGGUCUCUCCGGAUGUAACAACAUUUAUGUAUCAUGUAAGCCACAUUUCACUGUAACCACAACUUUAUACCACAUAAUAAAAAUGCUAAAUACUUGC